rnacentral:misc_RNA from 1 species
CCGAGUUUACAACUCCCAAACCCACUGUGAACAGUACCUAUAACUGUUGCCUCGGCGGAUCUAUGCCCCGGGCGUCGCAGCCCGGACAAAGGGACGGCCCGCCCGGAGGACAACCAACUCUAUAUACCCCUCGGGUUUUUUAUAAUCUGAGACUUCUCGGAGCUAUAGUAGGCGUAGACAAAUGAAUCA